rnacentral:snRNA from 1 species
GUGCUCACUUUGGCAGCACAUACACUAAAAUUGGAAUGAUACAGAGAAGAUUAGCAUGGCCCCUGCACAAGGAUGACACAUAAAUUUAUGAAGUGUUUUAUAUUUUU